rnacentral:rRNA from 1 species
UACGGAGGGGGCUAGCGUUGUUCGGAAUUACUGGGCGUAAAGCGCACGUAGGCGGCUGUUCAAGUCAGAGGUGAAAGCCUGGAGCUCAACUCCAGAACUGCCUUUGAAACUAGAUAACUUGAACACAGGAGAGGUGAGUGGAAUUCCGAGUGUAGAGGUGAAAUGCGUAGAUAUUCGGAAGAACACCAGUGGCGAAGGCGGCUCACUGGACCGUUGUUGACGCUGAGGUGCGAAAGCGUGGGGAGCAAACAGG